AUACGAAGGUCCCAAGCGUUAUUCGGAAUCACUGGGCGUAAAGAGUACGUAGGCGGUUUGGUAAGUCAGGUGUGAAAUCCCGGAGCUCAACUCCGGAACUGCAUCCGAUACUGCCAGACUUGAGUAAUGGAGAGGCAGGUGGAAUUCUCGGUGUAGCAGUGAAAUGCGUGGAUAUCGAGAGGAAGACCAAUGGCGAAGGCAGCCUGCUGGACAUUUACUGACGCUGAGGUACGAAGGCUAGGGGAGCGAAAGGAAUUAGAAACCCCAGUAGUCC
rnacentral:rRNA from 1 species